rnacentral:rRNA from 1 species
AGAGACAGCAGCAGCGCGGGAAUACGAAGGGGGCUAGCGUUGUUCGGAAUCACUGGGCGUAAAGAGUGCGUAGGCGGAUCCUUAAGUCAGGGGUGAAAUCCCGAGGCUCAACCUCGGAACUGCCUUUGAUACUGGGGAUCUUGAGUCCGGAAGAGGUGAGUGGAACUGCGAGUGUAGAGGUGAAAUUCGUAGAUAUUCGCAAGAACACCGGUGGCGAAGGCGGCUCACUGGUCCGGAACUGACGCUGAGGCACGACAGCGUGGGGAGCAAACAGGAUUAGAUACCCGGGUAGUCCCUGUCUCUUAUACA